GUGCCAGCCGCCGCGGUAAUACGGAGAGGGCUAGCGUUAUUCGGAAUUAUUGGGCGUAAAGGGCGCGUAGGCUGGUUAAUAAGUUAAAAGUGAAAUCCCGAGGCUUAACCUUGGAAUUGCUUUUAAAACUAUUAAUCUAGAGAUUGAAAGAGGAUAGAGGAAUUCCUGAUGUAGAGGUAAAAUUCGUAAAUAUUAGGAGGAACACCAGUGGCGAAGGCGUCUAUCUGGUUCAAAUCUGACGCUGAAGCGCGAAGGCGUGGGGAGCAAACAGGAUUAGAUACCCUGGUAGUCCACGCUGUAAACGAUGAAUGUUAAAUAUGGGGAGUUUACUUUCUGUAUUACAGCUAACGCGUUAAACAUUCCGCCUGGGGACUACGGUCGCAAGAUUAAAACUCAAAGGAAUUGACGG
rnacentral:rRNA from 1 species